rnacentral:rRNA from 1 species
GACGAACGCUGGCGGCGGGCUUAACACAUGCAAGUCGAACGGAAAGGCCCUGCUUUUGUGGGGUGCUCGAGUGGCGAACGGGUGAGUAACACGUGAGUAACCUGCCCUUGACUUUGGGAUAACUUCAGGAAACUGGGGCUAAUACCGGAUAGGAGCUCCUGCUGCAUGGUGGGGGUUGGAAAGUUUCGGCGGUUGGGGAUGGACUCGCGGCUUAUCAGCUUGUUGGUGGGGGAGUGGCUUACCAAGGCUUUGACGGGUAGCCGGCCUGAGAGGGUGACCGGCGACAUUGGGACUGAGAUACGGACCAGACUCCUACGGGAGGCAGCAGUGGGGAAUAUUGCACAAUGGGCGGAAGCCUGAUGCAGCAACGCCGCGUGCGGGAUGACGGCCUUCGGGUUGUAAACCGCUUUCGCCUGUGACGAAGCGGGAGUGACGGUAAUGGGUAAAGAAGCACCGGCUAACUACGUG